rnacentral:rRNA from 1 species
UACGUAGGGCGCAAGCGUUAUCCGGAAUUAUUGGGCGUAAAGAGCUCGUAGGCGGUUUGUCGCGUCUGCCGUGAAAGUCCGGGGCUCAACUCCGGAUCUGCGGUGGGUACGGGCAGGCUAGAGUUCGGUAGGGGAGACUGGAAUUCCUGGUGUAGCGGUGAAAUGCGCAGAUAUCAGGAGGAACACCGAUGGCGAAGGCAGGUCUCUGGGCCACUACUGACGCUGAGAAGCGAAAGCAUGGGGAGCGAACAGG